UACAGAGGUCUCAAGCGUUGUUCGGAUUCAUUGGGCGUAAAGGGUGUGUAGGCGGCGCGCUAAGUCGGGCGUGAAAUUUCGGAGCUUAACUCCGAAACUGCAUUCGAUACUGGCGUGCUUGAGGACUGGAGAGGAGACUGGAAUUCAUGGUGUAGCAGUGAAAUGCGUAGAGAUCAUGAGGAAGACCAGUGGCGAAGGCGGGUCUCUGGACAGUUACUGACACUGAGACACGAAGGCCAGGGGAGCAAACGGG
rnacentral:rRNA from 1 species